rnacentral:rRNA from 1 species
GCACGGGUAGUACCGUCACUACCUACUUUGAGUGGGGGAUAACUGAGGGAAACCUUAGCUAAUACCGCAUAAUACCCACGGGUCAAAGAAGCAAUUCGCUUAAGAGGGGGUCGCGGCCGAUUAGUUAGUUGGCGGGGUAAUAGGCCCACCAAAGACAGUGAUCGGUAUCCGGCCUGAGAGGGGGCACGGACACACGUGGAACUGAAACACGGUCCAGACUCCUACGGGAGGCAAGCAGUGGGGAAUUUUGCGCAAU